rnacentral:lncRNA from 1 species
UUAUAUUCAUCUCUCUUUUUUUUAGUCCAAAUAUACGAAAUUGAUCACGUCGAGUAAUACGAUUGAAUCGAACGAAAAUGACGAAUCAAAAUAGAAUCCGUCCAUUUUCUUUUAUUGUCACGUUUUGUUCAAAUACGUGGAGUUUAAUCGUGUCGAGCCUAUCACGAAGAUGGCCGCUCGAUUAAUCUUUUCGACCGUGUCGAGCCUAUCACGAAGAUGGCCGCACGGUUCACGCUUUCGACCAUGUCGAGCCUAUCACGAAGAUGGCCGCACGGUUUACGUGAUAAAACGUCCGGUUCGAUCAAUUAUUUUGACCAUGUCGAACCUAUCACGAAAAUGACCGCACGGUUUGGAGAUUAACAAAUACAUACGCACAGCGGAAGUGACAAUUUAAUGUCAGAUUUGAUCGGUUCGAAACCUAUCACGAAGAUGGUCGGGUUGAUCAAACCAACAAAAAGAUCGCACUUAUGCUAUGCAUAUGCAUGCGUAUCUCCUAUUGUUGUAGAAGUCGUCGUGAUUGUCGUUG